CCCCUCGUUUUUCAUUUUAAUCUCUGUCAAAAACAUAGAAGAAAUGGUACAAAACAAUUUGCCAGAGUUUUUUUUUAGAAAGUUUUAAAUGAGCCCAGAUGUGAUGGGAGACACCUGAGGGUGUCGCUACCUCACUCAUUGGUCGCUACACCCAUGGUGCAGAGGGUAUAAACCGGAAGUUGAUGUGUGGUUGCCAUGGUGCUAGCUUCCUGUGAGAGAGCUGGUUGGCUCAGGGAGCAGCGUAGUUGGCUCGAGCUGAUAGUGCGGGGUCGCCACAGCGAAACAACCCUCCCUCAAGGAUGAGUCGCAUGCUAGACUUGGCAAUGGUUUUACGCCGGAUGCCCUUCCUGAUGCAACCUUCUCAAGUUAUCCGGGCUUUGGACCGGCACAGCAGCAGAGAAGGGAACAAGGAGCAGCCCGGACUCGAACCCUGGUUCCACGGACGGAAGGCGCCGCAAACCAGCACGAGCUGAACCGGCCCCCAGUGUCAUCGCUAUGGUCCAGAGCUCCGCCUCUAAAGGAAGUUCAGCAGGAAGUGAUGGGGAUGGUGACGGACAGAUGAGUGGGAUCACUUUGAGCUUCUCCUGAAGGUUUUCCCUGUUUCUAAAUGUUUCUCUGUUUUUAUCAGAUUGUUUUUUUUAUCCAUAUUUUGUAUUAUUAUCAAAGUUUGAUUGUGUGUUGGUUUGUGCGCAUGUGUGUGCAUGAACUGUAGUUGUGUUGAUGUUGACAUGUUGCAUCUGAAGCUUUUUGGAGUCAACAGGUAUGUGUGUGGACAGGCCCCGCCCCUUGUGACUAACAUUUACACCAGACAGUAAUGAUGAUGAACCUCCAGCAUCUUGUUGCUGAAUGAUUGUACCCCCCCCCCCCGCUGUAAUCAUCCUCCAGGUCUCCUUAACCCCCCCAUUCUCCCCCUUUCUUUGUGUCCCUACCCCCCCCUCUCCAACAUCCCUCCCUUCUUUCCUCUUGUUCUUUUCCGUCCAACAAAAAGGAGACUAAUGUCAUUAAUAUAAAACAAAUGAAGUUUUGUCUAAAUGACAGAGGAGUUUAUUCAAAUACACUCCUAUUGUGUCCAGGGAUCCAGAAUCCCUGUUGAAACAGUAACAUCUGUGGAACAAAGAGGCCUUCAGCUCCUGUCUGCUCAGCUGUUAGACAGGUUCAGUAAAUAAAUAAAAAUAAAAACCUGCGUGAAUAAAGCGGAUCGUCCGUCUCACCGAAGCUCUCCCCUCUGCGGCCUUCUGUGCCGGUUUCAGCGUCACCAUGGCAACGUGAAGAAUGCAGCGGCGCAGGAAGGCGCUUGGAGACGCGGCGUUAUCAUGAUGCAGAGAGGAUGGUGAUCCUGUGAACCCCCCCCCACACAUACACUUGUGGGUAAUGGAUUUUAUCAGGCGAGAGCACGGGGCGAGUUUUGACGAGUCCCUGGGCUGCUCUGCUAUUCCUUUUGAAAUCGGUUUCUUCAGCGUCUUGUUGGAGUAGCCUGAGGCCAUGGCCCUCCGAGAUCACAAUGUUGUUAAUACAAACAUGUCAAACGCACACCCAGCUGCUGCACAGAGGUGCCGGGAUGUCAAGGUGUCAGCGUCCUGAAGUGUGAGUUACGCUUUAACAUCCUAAGCGCCGCACUGACGGAUGCGCCGCCGCUUUAAUUUUUUAACAUGACGCCGCCAACAAGAGCCGCCGAGGGGAGGGGGUGACGGCCGCCGCUCCUGCUUUGGUCUGAACUUUGGAGGAGCCCCCUGCAGGAUUCAUGACCGCCCCGCCAAGCGUAAGCCCCACCCCCCAAAGGCUGAAAGAGCAAACAGGAAACCUGGUCCCAUUCUGAGCUGCAGCCAGGGGCGGUUCUACACUAACUGACUCCCCGGGCAAGUGACCCCCCACACACGCACAACUCCAUGACAUCCUUUUAUGUUCCGUAUUUUGAUUUGGUCAUUUUCCCCAAAUGCAUGAAUUUCAUUAAAUGGUACUACAGGGGGGUCAAACUCAGUCCCACUGGGGGCCUAAAUCCAGAACACGCUUUAGGUUUUGGGCCGAACAAGAAAAACAUUUACUGAACACGCUAAAGCUAAACUUUUACACCUUUGAAACUGAACUUUUUGAACAUA